AUAAUACGUUAUGAUGUGGGUGCCGCAUAAGGCGUAAAAGGGAAUCCCGUUAAAAACGGGGCGGUCCCGCCGCUGUGACCGGGGACGAGACCCGCAGGAAGCCACUGUUCCGGCAAACCGGGAUGGGAAGGCGCGGGGAGUAGGGAGAUCCGGGAGCCAGAAAACCUGCCCACAUGACGCCUGCUAC
rnacentral:ncRNA from 2 species